AAGGACUAUGAAAAUUCCUAGAUUAGCUACCAAAUUCUUUCAUGGAUGUUAUAUUCUUAACUGGAGAGUGAAUCCUAAAUAAUUAAAUGUUCGGGUAUGGAGAGUCUCGAGUGAGACUCCAUUUUUGCUCCAAGUGCAUAUGCAAAAGGAAAGAAGAAAAAGAUUAGAGAGGAGAAAAAAUCCUAAACAAGUAUGAAAACGAAGGAGAAAAACAGUGGCAUCAAUCAAGUUAUUAACUUGCACUAAAUCACAAGCUCACAAAGGGAUAAGGAAUUUAUUACUUCCAGCAACAUUAUACCAACAAAUUUGGAGAAUUUCUUAUUACUAACAUAUCUCCUACAUACACCAUCAAAUGAACUUUCUAUGUUUAUUGAAAUCUUAAAGGUUGAAUAGAUUAAGUUGUCCUACAAUUAUUCCUUCUUGAUCAGUGAAUUAUGGAACCUUAUUAACUCCUUUAAAGUGAAUUAAAUACAUGCUAUCUAAUCCUUCGACACUAGUGUUUGCAAUAAAUUUUCAAGAUAUGAAAAAUAAAUUACAAUCACAAAAUAGGAGAAAAAUAUUUUUACUAAUCAAUUGUGAGUACAAUUAUGAUUCUUCUCUCCUGAUUAUCUCCGUGAUUCGAGGGCUGAAGCAGCAUAUUUCUCGAAUGUAGGAUGAUGCAGACCUCCUGGGGAUGUAUUUGAUCUCCAGCUUCUUGAACUAUUUGAUAGUCGAGAAGUAUCCGGUCAUAUUUUGAUCUCUUUGUGCAUAUCUCGAGAGUUUAUGGGAUUUUUGAGACCCCUAAUAGACUCCUGGGAUUUCAAGAGUCUUGUAGUAUCUUAAAAUUAGGAUUUAGCUUGAUCCGUUAAAAUUUAGAUGUGUACAAAUUCCCCAUACUUCAAGGUUUGUCGGGAUGUAGGCUUGCCGAAACUUGAAGACGAAACUUGAAGUACUCGACCAUCGCAACAAAUGAUUUUGAAACUUGGAGUUUUCAAUUUACAGGAGGAAGAGAUGAAGGGCAGAACUGGUCUCACUAGGCAUGCCAAUUUGUUUGCAAUAAAUUUUCAAGAUAUGAAAAAUAAACUACAAUCACAAAAUAGGAGAAAAAUACAAUUCUGUUUCUCCCUUGAUUCUUCUCUCCUGAUUAUCUCCGUGAUUCCAGGGCUGAAGCAGCGUAUUUCUCGAAUGUAGGAUGAUGUAGACCUCCUGGGGAUGUAUUUGAUCUCCAGCUUCUUGAACUAUUUGAUUGUCAAGAAGUAUCCGGUCAUAUUUUGAUCUCUUUGUGAAUAUCCCAAGAGUUUAUGGGAUUUUUGAAACCCCUCUUCAAGGGAAUAUGUAUCCCUUAAUAUAGGUAUGCGUUAGGGUUUAGGAUAGAGUAAUCUCCAAGAAACCCUAAUAGACUCCUAGACAGAACAUAUAUUUCAUGAAGAGAAUUCUGGAAUUGAACCUAUAAGCAUAAUCUCUAGGCGAUGGAAGGUCUCAUACAAGGUAACUUCAAUUCUAUAGACCUGAUCUCCACACUUUUGGCUAUAUUUAAAAGAUUUUGAUUGAUAAGAAUGUUAACAGCAUGUUUCUUCCAUUUGAUGCAUCAAAAUUAAAGCGAGUGAACAUUGAUAAGUUCUAACAUACUUCAAUGAUCAGUGAAUCAUAUUUUAUUACAUAGUUCACAGAAUCAGAUCCUUAACAUGGAACCUCUUACUCCUAAUUAGUUUUUAAAAAUAAUAGCAUUUUAUGAAUGUGCUUCCUAGAGUGGAGAAUAGCGGGAAGCAGACACUAGACACACCGGGAGAAAGGUCUUGUUACAUGGUUUGAUAACAAUUUUUCUUCUUCUGUGAAUAGGAAAUUCUUAACCGUACACUCUAAUCAAUCAAAUUUCUUUUAUUUUAUUAGAGUCCUGAUGUACAGAUUUUACUAUUCCUAAAGUCUUGACAGAGGAUUACAUGCACUCAAUAGAGAGAGUUCUAAGAAAUCACAGCAGUUUCCAAGUUGUUCUAUUGCUUAGAAGCAUGAAUUCUCAGAGGUGAAACAAGAUAUCACAUUUGACAUGGUGAAUUCCUAUAGUCAUCGUAACCAAGUAUUGAAAGGAUGUCUCUUUAAUAAAUAACAUGAUCAUUUAAUCUAGACAUAUAGUAGCUAAUUACUCUUCCAGUCAUCAUGCUUUCUACGACAUUCGAACUAGGAAACAGUAACUUACAGUCAUAUUUUAAACAAGAAAAGAAUACAUGAACAAUGGUAUUCAAAGCAAAGACCUAACAUCAGUAAACUAAUUUAUUCACAUAGGCAAGCAAUUGACUUCUUAUUUUCUUCAAGCUUUAUGCAAACAUACCACAUAACUUCACAACUUUUACGCAUACAAAAUUUCUUAAUCAUGAUUUUUAUGGAAAUAAACUAUGACUCGCGUUUUCGAACAAAUAGACGAACACUUCAGAUCUUCAAAGAAAAACGAGAAUAAAGAUUUCAGAGUUACUGACCUUUUGUGGUGCAGGAACUGGGGUCGCGUCAAGGUCUGCUAUCUCCGGCCUCUACUCCGCAACCUCGAAUGACUGUCAAACUCCAAGACGAGCACAACGAUGCCUCUGUUAUGGUUAAAACCAAUAGAGGCUGAACGAAAACGAACUCUUAGAGUGCGGUUCUAAUGAAUAAAAAUAAGAGAAGAAUGGCGAGGAAAAGAGUAUAAAAGCAGCGGGUCCAAAGGUGCUGAAAAUAGCCACAAGGUCUGGUAUUUAUAGGUGUAAAAUUAGGGUUCUGGGUUCCUUUGAGAGGGAAUUUGAAAUUCAGAUUUCGAAAGAAGUCAAAUGGAUCCGUUUAAAUUUUAACGGAGAAGCUUUUUGGAUGGAUUCGAUCUUCACGUGAUUCUUCAGUGAUAUGCUACAGGUUACACCCGAAAUGGUGAGAUAUGCUCUGUCACGUAGGGAUUUGAAGGUCAAAGCUUGGCUAAAAAUGGAGGAAAGUGCCAAGAGAAAGUUCUGCCAUGGCAGAGAGGGAAUUAGGGUUAGAAAAUAAAGGAUGUGGACUGUUGGAUAAAAAACGAU
rnacentral:lncRNA from 1 species